rnacentral:rRNA from 1 species
CCUACGGGAGGCAGCAGUAGGGAAUAUUGCUCAAUGGGGGAAACCCUGAAGCAGCAACGCCGCGUGGAGUAUGAAGGUUUUCGGAUUGUAAACUCCUUUUGUUAGAGAAGAUAAUGACGGUAUCUAACGAAUAAGCACCGUCUAACUCCGUGCCAGCAGCCGCUGUCAUACGGCGGGUGCAAGCGUUACUCGGAAUCACUGGGCGUAAAGAGCGCGUAGGCGGGCUAGCAAGUCAGAUGUGAAAGCCUAUGGCUUAACCAUAGAACGGCAUUUGAAACUGUUAUUCUAGAGUAUGGGAGAGGUAGGUGGAAUUCUUGGUGUAGGGGUAAAAUCCGUAGAGAUCAAGAGGAAUACUCAUUGCGAAGGCGACCUGCUAGAACAUAACUGACGCUGAUGCGCGAAAGCGUGGGGAGCAAACAGGAUUAGAUACCCGUGUAGUC